rnacentral:tRNA from 1 species
GCUCUGCUAAUGUAGCCAGGUCCAGCAUACAGGGCUUUCACCCCUGGAACCCGGGUUCGAAUCCCGGGCAGAGCA